CUGCUGCACACCAGAUAUAAUGAUUUUAGACCUGCUGAACAUGCACCUGCUCUUUUAUUUACUGUGGAAAAGAAUCUGUUUCAUGGAUAAGGCUCCCCUUCCAUUUUCUAUCAACAGGGAAACACAGAGUAUGCUUACACUAAGGUUUUCACAAAUGCCUAUCGUCACUGAACUCAGGCUUGCCUAAACUAAAUAAAUUUAACUUGUAACAAAAAAGACUACUGUCAAUUUAGGCCUGCAUCACACCUCCACCAUCUCCUCCAACAACAAGUACUUACAGGUGUAACAGCACACAUUUUUCCACCACCCCCACUCACAAUCACACUACCUGGUAUCUGGCAACUUUCUUUUCCCUCUCUGUGUAUACUCACACUUCUUCCCCCCUACCUGAGUGAGGAAUUGGCUACAGCUGAUUGUUUACCAGCUGUCAAUAGCCAACAGGUCUCACAUGUGUUCAUUUCAACAGGAACAUCAUACUAAGGUUUGGAACAAGAAGACAGGAGAAAGCUAAAGACUUUGGCAGUAAGUAGUCAGGUCAGGCAUGGUAUUACAAUACAGAUGAGCCAAAUAAAAAGCUUGAGACCAUAGAAAGAUAUACUUUGCCUUCCUUCUUUCCAGUUUCUUUUACCUCCCAUCUCUGUUUUCCUCACCUCCUCUGCCUUUACUUCUCUCUGCUCCUUGCUCACAGCCUCCUUCCUUUCAUCAUCAGUCCAGGCUCUAGUUUAAUCAAAAGUUAGCUAAAAACCCAUCUACGACAGCGGCUUUUUUCAGCUGGGUUAAUGAUCUGUGAUUUUAGUUAUCUGCCUGUGAUGGAAACCAAACCUGGCUUAGCAGAAGUAGAAGGAGUAAUUUGGCCAGGAGCAGGGAAGAGACAGAAGUGCAACCUCCUUUUGGCAGUUCAUGAUAUUCUGUUAAGAACAAAUUCAUUUCUCAGCCUUAGCUCAUGUUCAUCUUACCCAGCUCUGUAAAAUGACUGAGAAGUUGAAUCUUCACAUGAGGUGCUGAACCAGACCCAGCGAGGUUGAGAGAUUCACCCAGGGCCAAAAAAAACCAAUAGGUUUCUAAUUCUGGACUGUAAAUCAGAAACUACUACAUGUAACUUCUCUCCAAGACCUUUAAAACACAGUAUUUCCCCUCAUCUGCUGCUGCAAUACAGCUUCUCCUGAAAACAAAACAGGCAAAAGCCUACCCUUCCUGUCCUGCACUGCACACAUUGGUAAAGCUGCAUUUUGUCCAUCAGCUGUCCUGUAACUUUUAGUCUUGCCCAGUCAGGAUAACACAAAUCACCCUGCUCUGGCUUUGGUCCCAAACCCCACAGCUGGGUCAGGCAGACAGUAUUCACGGGGCAACUUACCACUUUUCUGACUCUGAUGCCUACUUCUGCAUCAUA